GAUGAACGCUGGUGGCAUGCUUAACACAUGCAAGUCGGACGGGGAGUGGUGGUUCGAGGGGCGGACGGGUGAGUAACGGGUAAGAAACUGGUGUUGGGAGGGGAACAACAGCUGGAAAAGGCUGCGAAUACCGCGUAGGAUGAGGAGCAGAAGGAGUAAUCCGACGGAGGGGGGGCGUGCGUAUGAUUAGCUAGUUGGUGAGGCAAGAGCUUACCAAGGCGAGGGUGAGCAGGUGGUACGAGGGGAUCGUCCGCCACACUGGUAGUGAGACGCGGCGCAGACUCCUACGGGAGGCAGCAGGGGGUAAUGUACCGUAAUCGGAGACAGCCUGACGGAGCACUGCCUCGUGGAUGUCGACGUCCCACUUGUCGUGAACUUCCUUUCGCGGAGAAGAAGCAAUGACGGUACCUGGAGAAGAAGCACCGGCUAACUCUGUG
rnacentral:rRNA from 1 species